rnacentral:rRNA from 1 species
UCCAGACUCCUACGGGAGGCAGCAGUGGGGGAUAUUGCACAAUGGGGGAAACCCUGAUGCAGCGACGCCGCGUGGGUGAAGAAGUAUUUCGGUAUGUAAAGCCCUAUCAGCAGGGAAGAAAGAAGACGGUACCUGACUAAGAAGCCCCGGCUAACUACGUGCCAGCAGCCGAGGUAAUACGUAGGGGGCGAGCGUUAUCCGGAUUCACUGGGUGUAAAGGGAGCGUAGACGGCCGUGCAAGCCAGGAGUGAAAGCCCGGGGCCCAACCCCGGGACUGCUCUUGGAACUGUGCGGCUGGAGUGCGGGAGGGGCAGGCGGAAUUCCUGGUGUAGCGGUGAAAUGCGUAGAUAUCAGGAGGAACACCGGCGGCGAAGGCGGCCUGCUGGACCGCGACUGACGUUGAGGCUCGAAAGCGUGGGGAGCGAACAGGAUUAGAUACCCCCGUAU